CCCUUAGACGUUCUGGGCCGCACGCGCGCUACACUGACCAGUGCAACAAGCAUCCGUCCUUGGCCGACAGGCCCGGGCAAUCUUUGAACGCUGGUCGUGAUGGGGAUAGACUUUUGCAAUUUUUGGUCUUCAACGAGGAAUUCCUAGUAAACGCAAGUCAUCAACUUGCAUUGAUUACGUCCCUGCCCUUUGUACACGCCGCCCGUCGCACCUACCGAUUGAAUGGUCCGGUGAAGCCUCCGGAUUGGCGCGCACCUCGGUGCCGCCGAGAAGUUGGCUAAACCUUACCAUUUAGAGGAAGGUGAAGUCGUANCA
rnacentral:rRNA from 1 species